AAAGAAAGGAAGUAAUUUAUUUUAAUCGAUAUAAAUUCCAUGAGAGGAAAUUCAAUUAAAAUUAAGUCAAGAUUCGAUAUCCUUUAUCGAUAAUAAAUUAUUAUUAAUACUUAAAUUUCGAUGUAAUUAAGACGACAUUUCAAAUCCAAAAAUGAAUUGUUUAAUUACAUUUGCAAUGGUUUUCUCCAUUAUUAUAGUGGAUACUUAUGAAAAAAGUUUCGGACUCAAGCAAUCGAAAAAAUCACCUAUGACAGAGAAGAGAACCGUAGAAGAUGUAGCAGAUGCACAGAAUUUUGAAAUAGAUUCUACACCACCGUGUCCGGUGAUUGAAUGUGUGAUAGUGACCGAUAGUUUCAUUUCUAUAUAUUUUAGCGAAGAAGAAAUAAGACCAUAUCUAAAUAAGAUAAUUCGUAUUGAAAGGUAUCUCGAUGAAUUAGAACUAAAUCUAACACUUCGUUUGAUUGGACGUAUCUCGUACACAAGCGAAACUGAACCGAAUUACAUUAAAGAAAGUCUCUAUUCGCCCGAUAUCAUCGCUGGUAGUGUCCUUUCUAAAAUGAUUGAGAUUGAAGACAGUCCUGUUGUAUCAAGACCCGAUAUUAUUGUUCUUCUAACUGGGUAAGAAUGAAUUAUGACAAUCGCAGAACAUAGCAUCUUUACAGACUAUGCGGUUGAUACCUUUAUCCACGAACUUGGACACCUAAUCAAUAUUGGUCACGAUUCGGAAGCUAAAAAUUGCUCACCCGUCUUGCUUCCUGGAAAAAAUCAUUAAUGUUAUUGCGCUAAGAAAGGCGUAACAGAAUUUUUAGA
rnacentral:misc_RNA from 1 species